UCCUGAGUAGCUCAGCGGUAGAGCAGUUGGCUGUUAACCAAUUGGUCGGGGGUUCAAAUCCCUCCUCAGGAGCCA
rnacentral:tRNA from 1 species